UUAAAUUGAAGAGUUUGAUCAUGGCUCAGAUUGAACGCUGGCGGCAGGCCUAACACAUGCAAGUCGAACGGUAACAGGAAGAAGCUUGCUUCUUUG
rnacentral:rRNA from 3 species